GAGAACGUGAUCAGCAGUGAGGAUUCCUUUCAGCCAGUGCUAAUACACGACGACAUAAAGCUAUUGCAUGGAAAUCGGAAACAGAAUUAAAUGGAGAGACAGAUUGAAGGAGGGAGAGGAAAACAAAAAAGGAGAGCGAAAUGAAAAGAAAUUAAAUAAAGGAUUUGGUGCAGCCUGGAGCUCGCUCUGCUCUCUGAGAUUUGAAAUUGGACUUCCAAAGGGGAUGUAAUGGAGUCUGCUGCUGCAAUAAGGAAUUUUAAAUCUCUGCCUUCAGCUUCCAAGCCUUUCUUUGGAGCUUUCUCUUGGAAAUUUUUCCUCUACACCACUGCUUAUGGAGCUUCUUUUCAGAUCAGGCUGCUUUGUUACAUUUUUUUCUCAGUCUUCUAGUAUUUGAGCUUUAUUCUGCAUUUUCUGUGAGGUUUUGGGUUUUUCCACAAGCUGCCCCCAUGUUGUAGGGCGUUGGUUACAGUCUGGUAGGUCUGAAGAAGUCCUCAUAGUCAUACAUAUGUUAACUGUAAGUCUUUAUUGACUCGUAGAACUAUUUACAAAUAUACAGUAAAGGGUAAAAGCUAGGAUCAAUCUCCAUGCUUGCUGAUACACAUGGCUCUGUCCAACACUCAAAUGGCUCUGGGUCACGUGCUAUCUUACACCACUGUGUGGGCGGUAUUGCACUCAGUCCCACAAUAACCCUAUAUGUGCCAGACCCUUAUACCACAGGGCUGAGCAACACUACUUUCACAGGGCAGUCACUAGCAAUGCCUAAUAUCCCAGUUUGGCACUGUAGAAACAGCAAAUAUAAUUAUAAUCCAUUAGGAAGCAACCAACUUGAAAGUACCAAAAUGGUUUCUAAAGCACAGCCCUCACCAUCGGCUAAUGCCCUUCCUAUUGUUAACCAGCCAAAUUCAAUGUUUCAGCCGAGAGCUGUAUUACCUCCGUAAAGGUCUGUAAUUUGAACUCUUAUCCCUCACAGAUAUCUUUAUAUCUACUAUUUGACAUAUGAAAAGGGUCACCAUGGCAGAGCCCUUUAAAAUGGAGAGAAGAAUUUAAAAUUAAUACCUUCACCUUUAUCCCAAAGACUGUUUCAUCUUGAAAUGUGCUCCAUGGUAAAACUCGACACAUCUUAUUGCAAUAAACACAAAGCCAGCAUCUUAA